rnacentral:rRNA from 1 species
AGCGAACGCUGGCGGCAGGCCUAACACAUGCAAGUCGAACGAAGUCUUCGGACUUAGUGGCGGACGGGUGAGUAACACGUGGGAACGUGCCUUUAGGUUCGGAAUAACUCAGGGAAACUUGUGCUAAUACCGAAUGUGCCCUUCGGGGGAAAGAUUUAUCGCCUUUAGAGCGGCCCGCGUCUGAUUAGCUAGUUGGUGAGGUAAAGGCUCACCAAGGCUACGAUCAGUAGCUGGUCUGAGAGGAUGACCAGCCACAUUGGGACUGAGACACGGCCCAAACUCCUACGGGAGGCAGCAGUGGGGAAUCUUGCGCAAUGGGCGAGAGCCUGACGCAGCCAUGCCGCGUGGAUGAUGAAGGUCUUAGGAUUGUAAAAUCCUUUCACCGGUGAAGAUAAUGACUGUAGCCGGAGAAGAAGCCCCGGCUAACUUCGUGCCAGCCGCCGCGGUAAGAC